UUACCGAASCUUGGUCGCAUCCCAAGGUUAUAAAGUGAAUGCGUUAGGAAAASCGAACUGCCAGCUGCGUUUGUCCGCUAUUCCCCCUUUUCUCCUCUGGAGCUGUUUUCUGGCGAAGGUAGUAACGUCUUACAGCAUUGCGCUGUGCGAUCACCGACGGUCUCGCGACCUGACUGUGUUCUCUUUGACGAGAAACCAACGCUAGCCGUGUCAUGUUCAACGGGCCCUUUCAUUCUUUACGCAGGUACGGCGGUCCCGUCUUCGGUGGCGGGUGGCCAGAGCACCGAUUGGUGUACGUACCUGUUAUAUCAGCAGAAAGGGAACGGAGGGCGUGCAUCUGCUAGGCAGGUACUAAGGAAGUAACGUCUUACAGUAUUGUACUGUGCGAUCGAUCACGGCGCGGAGUCUCCUUCAGCGUUGGUUGCUGGGUCGUCGAUCGUUAGGAUCGACUGCCCCAGCGUCUCCCUCGGCUGAUCGAGAGACCGGGCUGUGCGCGUUCUCUUUGACGGGAAACCAUCAAUCUACCUACUAGUGGCUCGGCUGGCCGCUCGGAAAGAAGAAGGCAGAAGAGAGAAGGCGGAGUACCGAGGACGAACCCGGAAUGGCUAUUCGUAAUAUGGAAAGAAACCCCGCGAAAGAAUUGCAUUAUGCGAUGUCGGCGAGAGCGUCUCGCCGAGCUUUGCUAAGCUCGAAUCAAAGCGUACCCACCUUUCAACCCCAACAAACUCUGAAUCUGAACUAAAAAGGAGGCGCGUCCUCUGCGANNNNNNCCUUCUC
rnacentral:rRNA from 1 species